rnacentral:misc_RNA from 1 species
GAUGAAGAACGCAGCGAAAUGCGAAAAGUAGUGUGAAUUGCAGAAUUCAGUGAAUCAUCGAAUCUUUGAACGCACAUUGCGCCCAUUAGUAUUCUAGUGGGCAUGCCUGUUCGAGCGUCAUUAAGUCCACUUAAGCCCUGCUUAGUGUUGGGAGACUGCUCCAGCGGUGCUACCCUGUAGCUACCCUGCAGCUCCUCAAAGACAGCGGCGGAGUUGUGGUAUCCUCUGAGCUUAGUAACUUGUUCUAGCUUUCGAGUACACCACUUCCCCUGCCGUAAAACCCUUAAUUUUUAAUGGUUGACCUCGGAUCAGGUAGGAAUACCCGCUGAACUUAAGCAUAUCAAUAAGCGGAGGA